rnacentral:miRNA from 1 species
UCCCUUCCGGUCAUCAAGACCAUUCGAUGACCGGAAGGACCCCUUCCGGUCAUCGACAUCAUUGCAAUUUCGAUGACCGGAAGGAAUCCCUUCCGGUCAUCGAGACGAUUUGAAUUUCGAUGACCGGAAGGAA